GCCACUAGCACCGGAGUAAGACUCGCUUGGGGUUCACCCAGCAUAGGGGGGUCACCCCUGUAUGAAUGUCUCUUAUGGCAUGUUGGGACACUCUUUCGGUCUAUGGGGGUACCGAACAGGUGUCAGGUACGGUAGUACACUUAUUGCCACUUAGUGGGUCUCCACGUACAACUGGGGGUCACCCAGAAUUGUUUCAAUCAGUACCACUUAGAGAUUUCCUGGGAGUGGUCUGAGGAGGGGGUCACCCUCAAUAAGACCGGGAUGAGCGGUCAGUAAUGUCGGGACGUAGCCCGUG